rnacentral:rRNA from 1 species
CCGCCGCGGNGAAUCGAUUGAGAGUUUGAUCCUGGCUCAGGACGAACGCUGGCGGCGUGCUUAACACAUGCAAGUCGAGCGAUGAAAUCCCUUCGGAGAUGGAUUAGCGGCGGACGGGUGAGUAACACGUGGGCAACCUGCCUCAAAGUGGGGGAUAGCCUUCCGAAAGGGAGAUUAAUACCGCAUAACAUUAGUUUUUCACAUGAAUUACUAAUUAAAGGAGUAAUCCGCUUUGAGAUGGGCCCGCGGCGCAUUAGCUAGCUGGUGAGGUAACGGCUCACCAAGGCCACGAUGCGUAGCCGACCUGAGAGGGUGAUCGGCCACAUUGGAACUGAGACACGGUCCAGACUCCUACGGGAGGCAGCAGUGGGGAAUAUUGCACAAUGGGCGAAAGCCUGAUGCAGCAACGCCGCGUGAGUGAUGAAGGCCUUCGGGUUGUAAAGCUCUGUCUUUGGGGACGAUAAUGACGGUACCCAAGGAGGAAGCCACGGCUAACUACGUGCCAGCAGCCGCGGUAAUACGUAGGUGGCGAGCGUUGUCCGGAUUUACUGGGCGUAAAGGAUGCGUAGGCGGAUGUUUAAGUCAGAUGUGA